rnacentral:rRNA from 1 species
ACGGGUGAGUAACACGUGGAUAACCUACCUAUAAGACUGGGAUAACUUCGGGAAACCGGAGCUAAUACCGGAUAACAUAUUGAACCGCAUGGUUCAAUAGUGAAAGGCGGCUUUGCUGUCACUUAUAGAUGGAUCUGCGCCGUAUUAGCUAGUUGGUAAGGUAACGGCUUACCAAGGCAACGAUACGUAGCCGACCUGAGAGGGUGAUCGGCCACACUGGAACUGAGACACGGUCCAGACUCCUACGGGAGGCAGCAGUAGGGAAUCUUCCGCAAUGGGCGAAAGCCUGACGGAGCAACGCCGCGUGAGUGAUGAAGGUCUUCGGAUCGUAAAACUCUGUUAUCAAGGAAGAACAAAUGUGUAAGUAACUGUGCACAUCUUGACGGUACCUGAUCAGAAAGCCACGGCUAACUACGUGCCAGCAGCCGCGGUAAUACGUAGGUGGCAAGCGUUAUCCGGAAUUAUUGGGCGUAAAGCGCGCGUAGGCGGUUUUUUAAGUCUGAUGUGAAAGCCCACGGCUCAACCGUGGAGGGUCAUUGGAAACUGGAAAACUUGAGUGCAGAAGAGGAAAGUGGAAUUC